UACGAAGGGGGCUAACGUUGCUCGGAAUCACUGGGCGUAAAGCGCACGUAGGCGGAUUGUUAAGUCAGGGGUGAAAUCCUGGAGCUCAACUCCAGAACUGCCUUUGGUACUGGCGAUCUCGAGUCCGGGAGAGGUGAGUGGAACUGCGAGUGUAGAGGUGAAAUUCGUAGAUAUUCGCAAGAACACCAGUGGCGAAGGCGGCUCACUGGCCCGGUACUGACGCUGAGGUGCGAAAGCGUGGGGAGCAAACAGG
rnacentral:rRNA from 1 species